UAUGGCCAUAUCCCAUUGAAACACCAAUUCUGAUACAAUCACUGAAGUUAAGCAACAUCAAGCCUGAUCAGUACCUAGAUGAGUGGCCACUUGAGAAUAGCAGGUGCUGUAAG